CGAUGGGAAAGGUAGGGGGAUAGUGGGUGAACGCCCCGGCCAGGGCGCGGCUGGAAGUGGCUGAGUAGCGGUCGAAUGCUGCCCUGGCUUCUCCAUGAUGAGGGAAAGUGCACUGGGGUCUUGAAACCAGUACUUGCUGGAUCCUGGCAUCUAGUCAUUGACCAGUAUACAAUGAGCAGUGAGGCUGUGUUUUCUCCAUCCUGAAUGAGGAAGAGGCUGAAAAGCAGGAAUGCUGCAAUUAAAUCCAUUAUGGUGCAGGGCCAACACUUGAAGAUGGCUGACUGAUUUUGAUGAGGUCAUUUUGGAAGAGUUGGAUGUGAAGUUAGAGUGAGGUUGUGUUUUCUCCAUCCUGAAUGAGGAAGAGGCUGAAAAGCAGGAAUGCUGCAAUUAAAUCAUUAUGGUGCAGGUAGUGCUUCAACUGUUGUGCUACUUCGCAUGAGUGCCAUUAAGAGCUUGAAUGAAUUUGAUUUCCCUACACGCCCAGAUCAAUGAAUUCGACAUGCGGCUAGACAUCGAGCAUUUCUUCCACGCCUUUGUGACUACUUCAACCAGGACUCUCGCCCACUCUCCGAUGACCCCUUCUCCUGCCUCCAACACCCUAUCUACCUGGAUACCCCAUGCUCGCCUCUUACCCACCCUCGGUCUCUUCAUAUCCAACUGCUGCCAUGACAUUGAUUGCCUCAACUUGUCCAAUCCCCUCUCCCACUCCAAACUCUCCCUCGCAACACGCAGCUCUCCACUCCCUCUGCUCCAAACCCAACCUCCCCAUCAAACCGGCAGACAAGGGACAUGCAGUGGUAGUUUGGCACACUGAUCUUUACACUGCUGAAGCUCGACGUGAACUCGUGGAUGCCUCCUACUGCCCCCAUGACCAUGACCCCACCACCAAACCAUCUCCCAGACCAUCUAUAACCUCAGGAGAUCUCCCAUCCACUGCCUCCAACCUCAUAGUCCCACUACCCCACACCGCCCGAUUCUACCUCCUGCCCAAAUCCACAAACCCGAUUGCCCCUGCUGACCCAUUGUCUCAGCCUGUUCCUGCCCACCAAACUCACCUCUGCAUACCUUGACACUGUCCUGUCCCCCUUAGUCCAAGAACUCCCCACUUAUGUUCGGAGCACCACCUACACCCUCCACCACCACCAGCCCACCAAUACCUUGUCUUCAUGAUGGACAUCAAUCCCUGUACGCUUCCAUCUGCCAUCAUGAAGGCCUCCAGGCCCUCCGCUGCUUCCUCUCCUGUUGACCCAACCAGUACCCUUCCACUGGCCCUCCUUCAACUGACUGAUCUGGGCCUCACUCUUAACAACUUCUUCCAAUCCUCUCAUUUCCUCAAAACCAAAGGAGUAGCCAUUGGCCCCAGCUAUGCCUGCUUCUUCAGAUAUGUGGAACAGUCCAUCUUCCACAUCUACACUGGCACCAUUCCCCACCCUUUUCCUCCGCUACAUUGAUUGUAUUGGUGCUACCUUGUGCUCCUACUUGUGGAACAUUUUCAGGGAACACCUCUGGGACACCCACACCAACCAACACAAUCGCCCCAUGGCUGAACACUUUUUUUUUGUAACUCCUCUCUUUCCUUCUUCCCUUUUUCCCCCCCCCCCCCCUCACGCCAAGGACAUACAGGUCCUUGGCUGCCUCCAUUGCCAGACCCUGGCCAUGCAACACCUGGAGGAAGAGCACCUCAUCUUGCACCUAAGCACCCUCCAACCACAUGGGAUGAAUGUAGAUUUCUUCACCUUCCUCUUUCCCCAUCCCCCACCUUAUCUCAGUCCCAACCCCCAGAUUCCGUACCACCCUCUUGACCUGCAAUUAGAUUACCUAGUGUGGAAACAGGCCCUUCGGCCCAACAAGUCCACACCGACCCGCCGAAGCGCAACCCACCCAUACCCUUACAUUUACCCCUCACCUAACACUUCUUCCUGAUCUCCGCUCCCACCCCCUCUUCGGCCUAUCACCCUCACCACCUUCCACCUAUCGUAUUCCCAGCCCACUUGGAACACCAGCCUCAUUCCUGAAGAAGGGCUUAUGUCUGAAACAUGGAUUUGUCUGCUCCUCGGAUGCUGCCUGGCCUGCUGCGCUUUUCCAGCACCACACUUUUCAACUCAGGUCUCCAACAUCUGCAGUCCUCACUGUAUAUGAUCUAUGUAAAUAAAGUUAAAAUGCAACA